UGCAGUCGCACGAGAAGCGGAGCAAUCCGUGAGUAAAGUGGCGCACGGGUGAGUAACACGUGAAUAAUCUACCUCCGAGUGGGGAAUAACUGAGAGAAAUCUUAGCUAAUACCGCAUAACACUUACGAGUCAAAGCAGCAAUGCGCUUGGAGAGGAGUUCGCGGCCGAUUAGUUAGUUGGCGGGGUAAUGGCCCACCAAGACGAUGAUCGGUAUCCGGCCUGAGAGGGCGCACGGACACACUGGAACUGAAACACGGUCCAGACUCCUACGGGAGGCAGCAGUGGGGAAUUUUGCGCAAUGGGGGAAACCCUGACGCAGCAACGCCGCGUGGAGGAUGAAAUAUCUUGGUAUGUAAACUCCUUUCGAUGGGGAAGAUAAUGACGGUACCCAUAGAAGAAGCCCCGGCUAACUUCGUGCCAGCAGCCGCGGUAAUACGAGGGGGGCAAGCGUUGUUCGGAUUUAUUGGGCGUAAAGGGUGCGUAGGCGGUUUGACAAGUCUUAUGUGAAAUCUAUGGGCUCAACCCAUAGUCUGCAUGAGAAACUGUCGGGCUUGAGUAUGGGAGAGGUGAGUGGAAUUUCCGGUGUAGCGGUGAAAUGCGUAGAUAUCGGAAGGAACACCUGUGGCGAAAGCGGCUCACUGGACCAUAACUGACGCUGAUGCACGAAAGCUAGGGGAGCAAACAGGAUUAGAUACCCUGGUAGUCCUAGCCCUAAACGAUGAUUGUUUGAUGUGGCAGGUACCCAAUCCUGCCGUGUCGAAGCUAACGCGAUAAACAAUCCGCCUGGGGAGUACGGUCGCAAGGCUGAAACUCAAAGGAAUCGACGGGGCCGCACAGCGUGAGCAUGUGGUUUAAUUCGACGCAACGCGAAGAACCUUACCUGGGCUCGAAAUGUACAUGAAUCCGGCAGAAUCGUC
rnacentral:rRNA from 1 species